rnacentral:rRNA from 1 species
AGCGAACGCUGGCGGCAGGCCUAACACAUGCAAGUCGAACGGAAGCACAGUAAGUGCUUGCGGUUACGGGGGGCGAGCGGGGGACGGGUCAGGUAGGCAUCGGAAUCUACAGUUUCGCGUGGGAUAACGAAGGGAAAGCUACGCUAAUACAGGAUACGACGCACGGGGGAAGGCAGGGGAUCGUUUGGCCUGGCGGGAAUGAACGAGCCGAUGACGGAGUAGCUAGUUGGCGGGGUAAAGACCAAGAACGGCGACGAUCGGUAGCUGGUCUGAGAGGACGGUCGGCCACCCUGGAACUGAGACACGGUCCAGACUCCUGCGGGAGGCAGCAGUGGGGAAUCUUGGGCAAUGGGCGCAAGCCUGAUCCAGCCAUACCGCGUGGGUGAAGACGGCCUUCGGGUUGUAAAGCCCUUUUGUUGGGAAAGAACAGCAGCAGGUUCAUACCCCGCUGUUCUGACGGUACCCAGAGAAUAAGCACCGGCUAACUUCGUG